CCCCUAGAUGUUCUGGGCCGCACGCGCGCUACACUGAACAGUUCAACAAGUCUUAACCUUGGCCGAUAGGUCUGGGUAAUCUUUGAACGCUGUUCGUGAUUGGGAUAGACCUUUGCAAUUAUGGGUCUUCAACGAGGAAUUCCUAGUAAACGCAAGUCAUCAGCUUGCAUUGAUUACGUCCCUGCCCUUUGUACACACCGCCCGUCGCACCUGCCGAUUGAAUGGUCCGGUGAAAUCUCGGGACGGCGGCUUGGUCGCUUGCGUCCGACUGCUGAAACUUGAUUAAACCAUAUCAUUUAGAGGAAGGUGAAGUCGUAACA
rnacentral:rRNA from 1 species